CAGGUACAGGAACAGGAGCAGGAGCAGGAAGAGGAACAGGUACAGGAAGAGGAACAGGUACAGGAAGAGGAA